rnacentral:rRNA from 1 species
ACCGGCGGCUCGAGUGGUGGCCACUAUUACUGGGCUUAAAGCGUUCGUAGCUGGCUUGUUAAGUCUCUGGGGAAAUCUUCCGGCUCAACCGGAAGGCUUCUCAGGGAUACUGGCAUGCUAGGGAACGGAAGAGGUGUGAGGUACUCCAGUGGUAGGAGUGAAAUGCUGAAAUACUAGGGGGAACACCUGUGGCGAAGGCGGCAAACCAGGACGGAACCGACAGUGAGGAACGAAAGCUGGGGGAGCAAAAAG